GUUCACGUAGUGCGCAAAACGUGCCUGUGGUUCACUGAAUGCAGUUGCAGUAUGCUCAUGGUAGAAGACGAAAAUAUUUUGGCAAUAUCAAGGAAUUUACAAACUUGCCUACAAACCAACAGUUAAAGAAGUGUUGUAUUGCCCAAAAGAAAUGAGUGCAGACAGAACAGAAAGACUAAUCAUUUUAGUUUUUCCGAAAGUUUAUGAAGUGAAGGAAGGUCUCUUCUUCUUCAAAUGGAAGAAGUGGUGAGUGAGAGCCUCCGAAAUGUACGUCUAAUACACUGUUGGGACACUUCUUCUCUUGGUGGUAGCCAAUCAGACAUUUAAAAGCCAUGGUUCCCGUUUGGAAAAUGCCCUUCCGGAAUGGGAAUCGGCUUAAGAGAGAGAUAAAUUCACCUGCAAAUGGCCAUGGUAGUAGCCAUAAACUCUUUUUUUUCCUCAUCCUAUUUAGUACGCUAUACCAUCAAAUGGGAUGGGGAUGCAGAUUCAACUCUCUAUGUUUAUGGUGAUGAAAAAAACAGUAAGUCGUCAAGAAUAACUUUCAUCAGCAACAAUCCUCCAGAACAGCAAUUAAUUAGCAAUUUCCAAAUGCUUCGAGCAGUACAUAACAUAUCUGGUUGCCGAGAAGAAUUUUGAAUCCGAAAAAAUUUCAAAAUUUUGGAAGGUUUUAUCUGGCAUGCUCUAUACGAGUGGGGGAGGGGCCGUGUACACGCACGUGGUACAACCACGUCUAAUCGCAACAUUUGAUGCCAUGCAAGAAAAGUAAAAAAAAAAAUAAACCUUUUUUUUUUGCUGUGAAGUGUGAACUUGGGCAAUCAGUCGACGGAAAAUGUAAGAAACAUACGUUAGCAUAUUAUCCAUUCUCAUUAAUUUGAUUUUCCAUCAAAAGGCUUUCAUAGUUUUGGCGUAAGUCACUUCAAACAAUUAGCAUAGAUCGACGAAUUUUUUUUGCUCAAAAAUUUUUUGCUAAAGAAAAGUGACAUAUUUUUUCCAUUCCAAUCACGACUUCAAUGUAGUGAAAGAAUUACCCCUUUUGAUCAACAAAACAUGCAAGACGUUUCUACUAAAACAACCCUGAAAAAAAAGAAUGUGAUGUUCGUCUCAACAAGAGAUGCAACCAUGUUAAUGUUUUGAGUGCGCUGAUCUCAAGAACCUCGCUUAAAAAGAGGUGGAGACUGCGUCAAGACGAAAGCACUGGGGAGAUGGGGAAGCUCUAGGCUUGAACUAUUCCAUCAAUUCGGCUAUGUUAAAACACGCUUCAGAAUUAGGAACACCUAAUUCAAGCAGCGUUGCAGAAUAAGAAUAUAUUGAUUAUUAAAAGUUUUGUUUUGAUAUUCAUAUUUGGCAUUGGCAUUGCUGUUUAUUCCGCCUGUAAUUCUGGUUCUCAGUCAAUGAGGCGACAGCGUCGUCAGCAGAUAGUUGCCAACAGAUAAAUGUAAAGAAUCACAAAGAAUUGAAUUCCAUGGAAAUGUUUCGUCAUUGUAGGGGGGGGGGGGGGAUUCACAAACUCAAAUGUAUAUAAAUAUUAUUUUUUAUGAAAUGCUUAUAUUUUCUGUUCAUCAUCACGAUUCAUAACAGUGUCUGGAAUUAUUAUCUCAGCGGUUGUGUUGUCAGAAUCUUGCGUGCCAUUGUUUGAUUCAUUAAUCUGUUAAAAAUUCUACAAAUAUAAUUAAAUACAAUUUUAUAUUACUUAAAUAUUAAUACCGUGUUAGCACUAUCAUUUUCUUCUACCCUACUGACAUCCAUAUCAAUAUCAGAAUCCUCUAAAUCAAUAUUAUUAUUUUUAGUUUUAUAGUUGGAAAUUUUUUAUUUUUACAUGUAUACAGCUGAAUACCUUUGACCGAUUAUUAAUGGGAGUAGUUGUAUCACUUGACUGUUUGACAAUACUAUUUGAAUCUUCAGAAGGCUGUUAUGUAAAUAAAAUAUUUAUGCUUUGUUACUUGAUAUUACAUAUUUAUUUUAAUUGAAUAACCUCUUCAAUUUGGCUUUCUGACUCGCUUUCUUUAUCCAUGGACUUUUUAUUGACUUUUUCACUUGACUUUUUUACGAUACUAUUUGCAUCUUCAGAAGACUGUUAAGUAAAUAAAAUAUUUAUGCAUUGUUACUUGUUAUGAUAUUUUUUUCAAUUGAAUUACCUUUCAAUUUGGCUUUCAGGCUCGCUUGCUUCAUCCAUGGAUUUCUCAUCUCCCAUCCCGUCAUCUGAAAAAGAACUUUCAUCUGCAACCAAUGCUUUUAAAUCGAGAUUUUUCACCGAACGGCAAGUCAUUGAACUUUCCUGUAAAUAUUUAUUUUGAUGUUAUUAAAAGAUAGGUUAGAAAAAUAAAAAAUAUUUAUAUUACUGGUAUACUUGCGCUUGAUCCUUAAAUUGAUCAUAAUUGACUUGCUUGACUUUUGGGUUCAGCAUUUUUUCGAUUAAAAUUUUAGAUUUGCCUACACAGAAAACAAAAAUAUGGUAUCCUCAAAAUCCUCUAAGCAACAAAAAGAUUUUACCCUUUCUGCUAAUAAUUCAGCUUUAGAUCGAGCCAGAUCUGAUUUCAAGUUCUGUAAAGAAAAGGCAAUUUGAUUAAUGUAAUUAAAAAGUUAAAGGUAAAGAUUAAAAUUAAAACUUACAUUAACUUCAACGUUAACUGUCCUUUUAUAAGCCAUAAAUCCUCUAACAAGUUGUUUUUUGGUUAAAUUCAGUAACUUUGAUUCUGUUAGAUCGUUCAUUUUAGAACUUUACUAAACUAGCUACUAUGUUUUGAUGUAAUAGUGUACUGUGUGGCCUAAUUUUGAAAUAAUUCUUCAUUAAACUAAAUGUUUCAUGGCUUAUCUAACCAUGAAAAUCACAUAAUCAUGACCAUGCUACGAUAUUGUAUAACUAUGGCUAAAAAAAUUUCGAUGUUUUGCUCUUUUCGUUAACAAAUCAUGCAGUUAGCGUAAAAGGCGUAAUUUGAAAUGGUGCCUUCUUUCAUGCAGUCAUUAAAAUUCU
rnacentral:lncRNA from 1 species